rnacentral:rRNA from 1 species
ACCCGCACAAGCGGUGGAUGAUGUGGAUUAAUUCGAUGCAACGCGAAAACCUUACCUACCCUUGACAUGUCCGGAAUCCUGCAGAGAUGCGGGAGUGCCCGAAAGGGAAUCGGAACACAGGUGCUGCAUGGCUGUCGUCAGCUCGUGUCGUGAGAUGUUGGGUUAAGUCCCGCAACGAGCGCAACCCUUAUCAUUAGUUGCUACGCAAGGGCACUCUAAUGAGACUGCCGGUGACAAACCGGAGGAAGGUGGGGAUGACGUCAAGUCCUCAUGGCCCUUAUGGGUAGGGCUUCACACGUCAUACAAUGGUCGGUACAGAGGGUUGCCAAGCCGCGAGGUGGAGCCAAUCCCAGAAAGCCGAUCGUAGUCCGGAUCGCAGUCUGCAACUCGACUGCGUGAAGUCGGAAUCGCUAGUAAUCGUGGAUCAGCAUGUCACGGUGAAUACGUUCCCGGGUCUU